GACGAACGCUGGCGGCGUGCUUAACACAUGCAAGUCGAACGAAGUGGCGAACGGGUGAGUAACGCGUAAUCAACCUGCCCUUCAGAGGGGGAUAACAGUUGGAAACGACUGCUAAUACCGCAUACUGAAGGAGGGGAUUGCGUCUGAUUAGCUAGUUGGAGGGGUAACGGCCCACCAAGGCGAUGAUCAGUAGCCGGUCUGGGAGGGUGGACGGCCACAUUGGGACUGAGACAGGGCCCAGACUCCCACGGGAAGCAGCAGUGGGGAAACGUCCGCAAUGGACGAAAGGCUGACGAAGCAACGCCGCGUGGGUGAUGACGGGCUUCGGGUUGUAAAGCUCUGUUAAUCGGGACGCGGUACCUGAAGAAUAAGCACCGGCUAACUACGUGCCAGCAGCCGCGGUAAUUC
rnacentral:rRNA from 1 species